UUCAUAAUACUUUUCAUUCUUCGUAAUAGUCCAUUUAUAGGACAAUUCAUAGCCCAUGAACUCACCCACUAAACCCCACUAAAUAAAUGCAUUAACGUGACAUUAAAAAUGAACUAACAGCCUAUUUCUAUGGAAAUGAUUAACUAAAAUUGAACUACCCACUAACUAAUUAAUUUGACUAAUUAUUUCUACUAAUUUAAUAAUUAUACGUAUCAU
rnacentral:lncRNA from 1 species